rnacentral:rRNA from 1 species
GGGGAAGGAAAGAACCAAACAGGGAUUGCCUCAGUAACGGCGAGUGAAGCGGCAAAAGCUCAAAUUUUAAAGCUGGCACCUUCGGUGUCCGCGUUGUAAUUUUGUGAGGCAUCUCCGGGUAGGGCGCCGGCCUAAGUUCCUUGGAACAGGACGUCAUAGAGGGUGAGAAUCCCGUGCUUGGCUGGCUGUCCCCGUCCAUGUGAGGUGUCUUCGACGAGUCGAGUUGUUUGGGAAUGCAGCUCAAAAUGGGUGGUAAAUUUCAUCUAAAGCUAAAUAUUGGUGGGAGACCGAUAGCGCACAAGUAGAGUGAUCGAAAGAUGAAAAGCACUUUGAAAAUAGAGUUAAAAAGUACGUGAAAUUGUUGAAAGGGAAGCGCUUGAGACCAGACUUCGGUGGGGAGUGAUCAGCUGUCCUUCUGGGCGGUGCACUUGCUCCCCUCCGGGCCAGCAUCGGUUGGGACGGCGGGAUAAAGGUCCCGGGAAUGUGGCUCCUCUCGGGGAGUGUUAUAGCCCGGGUGAAUGCCGCCAGCCCCGACCGAGGACCGCGCCUUCGGGCUAGGAUGCUUGGCAUAAUGGUCUUCAGCGACCCGUCUUGAAACACGGACCAAGGAGUCUAACAUCUAUGCGAGUGUUUGGGUGUCAAACCCUUACGCGAAAUGAAAGUGAACGGAGGUGGGAACCCGCAAGGGUGCACCAUCGACCGGUCCCGAAGUCUUCUGAAGGAUCUGAGUAGGAGCAUAGCUGUUGGGACCCGAAAGAUGGUGAACUAUGCCUGAAUAGGGUGAAGCCAGAGGAAACUCUGGUGGAGGCUCGCAGCGGUUCUGACGUGCAAAUCGAUCGUCAAAUUUGGGUAUAGGGGCGAAAGACUAAUCGACCAUCUAAGUUCGG